rnacentral:misc_RNA from 1 species
UCUCCGUUGGUGAACCAGCGGAGGGAUCAUUACUGAGUUACAAACUCCAAACCAUUGUGAACUUACCACUGUUGCUUCGGCGGUCACGCCCCGGGCGCCUCUGGCGACCCGGAUCUAGGCGUCCGCCGGGGGACCAAACACUCUGUUUUCUACCUGAAUCUUCUGAGUAAAACACAAAUAAAUCAAAACUUUCAACAACGGAUCUCUUGGCUCUGGCAUCGAUGAAGAACGCAGC